CCGACUUCGCGCCCGGGGAACUACGGCUGCCCCUGCUGGUGGGACCCAGGACUGAUAGAAACAGGUCCCACCUCCACGUGCACCCACACGCUUUUCCUGCAUUAUGAAGCUGAGCAGCCUCUCCCUGCUCGCUGUGACCGUCCUCCUUUGCCUCCACAUGGCCCAGCCUGGAGUCGGAAAAGCUGUACCUAAACCAGGAUACUGCCCGGAGUUUACUCUUUCCUGCCCUUUCACCAUGUUUCCUAAGUGCCGGCGUGACAGAAGUUGCCAGGAGAGCAAGAAGUGCUGCUACUACAACUGCCGAUAUCAGUGUAUGGAACCGUGGUGGUCUUUGGACUGAGGUGGAACCCCCUACUUAACCAGGCCUGAGAAGACACUGGCGCUACAGGCUCAGACUUGGAUAUCUGGUCUGCAGUUCUUCCAUGCUCCUCCCAGGCCCAAGACUUCCUUUUAGCAAGAGUGAAAUGCUUACUAAUGUGACGACAAAAUAAAGAAUAAAGUGUUGACUAUUUUAAACUACAUGAAAA